UGGGAUGUAGCUCAGUAGUAGAGCACUUAUCUAGUAUGUCUGAGGCCCUGGGUUUGAUCCCCAACCUCCCUC
rnacentral:tRNA from 1 species